rnacentral:rRNA from 1 species
UACAGAGGGUGCGAGCGUUAAUCGGAAUGACUGGGCGUAAAGGGUGCGUAGGUGGUUAGUUAAGUUCACUGUGAAAUCCCCGGGCUCAACCUGGGAAUUGCAGCGAAUACUGAUUGGCUUGAGUAGGUGAGAGGAGUGUGGAAUUUCCGGUGUAGCGGUGAAAUGCGUAGAGAUCGGAAAGAACACCAGUGGCGAAGGCGGCACUCUGGCACCAUACUGACACUGAGGCACGAAGGCGUGGGGAGCAAACAGG